GAGAAAGGACUCAGGGGCAUUCUUUUGAGGCAGUCUACUACUCAGUAAGCUUGAAUCCUAAUGUCUGACUUAAUGUGUGAAUGGCUACAGAAUUUUUAACUGGAAGAUGGCUACCAGUGCUUUUAGGUAUUUGGCUGGUCUGCUGCUUCCUCCCAGCAAUGCCUAUUCUCAUGGCCAAGGAACCACAGCUGCUAGCCUAUGGAGAUGUCUCUGGUACACUUUACAGAGCAUUGUCCAGUCUCCAGCAAUCACAGAGACCUUCACUUAAAACAGGUAAGAUUUCUAUUGAUGUGACCCAAACCAACUUGGGACAGGUUGAUUUCAGGUUACAACUCUCAGGUCACAGAACAUCUGUGAAGGAAGUCAGAUCAGAAACUCAAGGCAGGACAGAAGAAGAAGCCAGAGAGGAGAGCGACUUACUGGCAUGCUCCCCACAGUUUGCUCAACCUGCUUUCUUAUAGUACCCAGGACUACCAGCCCAAGGUGGUACCAUCCAGAGUGGGCUGGGCCUUCUCACAUCAGUUAUUAUUGAAGUAAAUGUCCUGCAGAAUCUCACAGGCCAAUCUAGUGGGCCAUUUUCAAUUGGGAAUAUUUCCUUUUCCCAACUGACUUUAACUUGUGUCAAGUAGGCAGGACACAUACCUUCUAAUGUUUUAACUAAGGUAAUCUUUACCUUAAAAAACAGUUGUUGACAGGGAAACUACGAAUGCAUCUAGUUAGCAAACUAAGCCCAAGUCUUCAGCUUCAAAUACUUAAGGGACAAGAAACAUUGCUGCUUCUUCAGCAGUGCCGCCUUUGGACGGAUAGGGGUAUUAGAUGCUGGGAGAUGAACACACACUGUUCAUG
rnacentral:lncRNA from 1 species